UACGUAGGGUGCGAGCGUUGUCCGGAAUUAUUGGGCGUAAAGGGCUCGUAGGCGGUUUGUCGCGUCGACUGUGAAAACCCGAGGCUUAACCUCGGGCCUGCAGUCGAUACGGGCAGACUAGAGUUCGGUAGGGGAGACUGGAAUUCCUGGUGUAGCGGUGAAAUGCGCAGAUAUCAGGAGGAACACCGGUGGCGAAGGCGGAUCUCUGGGCCUUACCUGACGCUCAGGUGCGAAAGCUAGGGGAGCGAACAGG
rnacentral:rRNA from 1 species